CACAGAGCCCGGCACCCAGCAGAGCUCACAGAAUGUCAGUGUUCUUCAGCAGAGAAGAAUCUUAGGAAACCAGGUGCCAGGGUUCUCCAGAGGGAGCUCUCAGCUUCAAAGGAAAUGUUACUCUGAACUCCCAGGUGCUUAAUCCCUAGAACAGGUCACGGGCCAUUAGUCAGGCCAGCUUGGUUCUUGCUACUCAAGACCUAAGCCUCAGACCAGCAGAUGACAUCACCCGGGAGCAGCCUUAAAACGAAGACUCUUAGGCCCCAUCCUAGAUCAGCUGAAUCAGAAUCUGCAUCGUAACAAGAUUUCUGGGUGAUUCACAUGCAUAUUAAAACUUGAGAAGUACUGUUUUAAGUUAUCCCCUGUUAUGGACCGAAUGUUUGUGUCCACCCAAAAUACGUAUGUUGAAUCCCUACUCCCUCAGUGUGAUGGCAUUAGGAGGUGAGGCCUUUGGGAGGUAAUUAGGACUAGAUGAGGUCAUGAGGGUGGAGCCUUCAUGAAUGGGAUUAGUGCCCUUAUAAGAGCUACCAGAGAGCUUGCUUCCUCUGCUCUGCUCUCUGCCAUGUGAGGAUAUAAGAAGUCAGCCGUCUGCAACCCAGAAGAGGGCUCUCAUCAGAAGCCUAUGAUGCUGGCACCCUGAUUUUGGACUUCCAGCCUCCAAUGCUGUGAGAAAUACAUGUCUGCUGUUUAUAAGUCACCAGUUUAUGGUAUUUUGUUAUAGCAGCCCAAGCUAAGACAUCCUCUUAAUUAAUCUUCUAUGGUUAGAGAAGAAAGGGGCUUGGAGAUCACCUAGUUAAAACGGGCAUCUCAGAAAGGUGAGGUAACUUGCCUAGAGCCAGUCCAGGGCAGAGCCCAGACGAGGCUUUCAGUCUGCAGACGCUGAGACUGGUCUGGCGUAAGUGGUGCCUCCAGUGGCACAGAAGGUGGCAGUUUUGACCCCGCCUCGAGAUACAGCCACAGGGGACUUUGGAAGAGGGAGAUUCUGUUUCGUUUGGAAUAUUGUUGGGGGCUUUGCAUCCCAGUGACUUGGAUGACCUCAGUGGAAGAUAAAGAUGUGAUAGAGGAAAAUACAGAAGCGUAUUCUUCUCACCCUUGAUCACCUCUGCACGCCCCUGCCCUUUGAACUCAGAAUGCUUCAGCUUACCUCUCCCUGACUGAAUGAGAAGAUGGUAUUUCAAUCAACAUACAUCUAUUGAGCACCUAUUGUGUGCACUCUGGCGGGAUCUCAGUUCCCUGACCAGGGAUCAAACCCGUGCCCCCUGAAGUAGAAGCACAGAGUCUUAACCACUUAACUACUGGACCGCCAGGGAAGUCCCUCAUUCUUGAAAUUGAGAAAACAGAUGCCUGGAACAAGCUGGAAUUUCCAGGAAAAACAUCCAAGCUCAGUUCAAGCCCCUGUGGGAUGACUGCACUGAUGCCAUCUUCAAUGCGUCUUCCUUUCCCCCUCUGGCUGGCAUGGCUCCUUGUCUGCAGCCUCACUGACUGCAGCUUUGCCUUGGAGAGCAGACUGUCUUUGUGAAUGACUCGCUCAGGGAGCAUGUGCAGGACGAGCCCAGAGCCUCCCUCCAUGGGAACGUGAGAGGAGAAGCUGAAGAAUGGGCUGAGAGCAGCAGCUGAAUGGAACGGGUCAUGCUGCUUCUUGAGGCUGAAAAGGCCAAUCCUGUAAAGGAGUCGAUGAGAGCACCUCAUUGGGUUUCACCCCUCGGGCCCUGUGUGUGCAGAGAGGGCUGGGAAACACUGCUCUGCACGUGAGCGGGGGCAGUGAGACUCCGGGGCUGCUCUCCAGACACACUUAUCCACCUAUCUGUUUCAUUCAAUUUUAUUUGUACAAAAGGUCGGUUGAGGCAACGGCAGACUAAGCCUUUAGAGACCAUGGGCUAUGCAAAUAGAACCUUAAUGGAAGAUUAAAUCAGCCGAAGUCCCCCUCAGUGCUUUUCCAUUUGUGGGACUGGAACUGGCAGUAGGAGGGGAUGAAUCACUCUUACUAUAUUUGAAUGGCUUCUUUACAAAAAUAGCAGGCACUAUAAUAAAGCAGCCCCAGAAAUACCUAGUAACAAACAAUAAAAAUACCUUCCUAUAAAGAGAAUGAACAUGAUAUUAUGGUCAUGGUUAAAAAGCAAGCAUGAUAAAUCAAGGCACCAACUAUGGGGGUCCCCU